AGCCAAGCGAUAGCGAUGAAUCCAAGGCAAUUGUAAGACAAAUUUGACUUGUCCACCCUGUUUGCCAGCCAAAGAUCCAAAACUCAUGCUUUCAGGGGUUGUAUUGGAUUUACACAGCUGGUUGGAUGCUUCGCCAUUUGAAGUUACAAGGUUACUGCUGUUACCUCAGAGGAAAACCUGCCUAAACUUCAACUACUGUUCCCCACAACACGGCAAGGAAUAGUGUCAAUGGGCACAUCUCAUCUGCAGCAGAGGACAAGAAACCAUGGAAGAUCAAGAAUGAGAUGUUUGGCCUUUACCUACCAUGUAAAACAAGCAAUAUUUGGCAUAUCCUGAGAUGGGAAUUCUCCAGAAUGGCAUGAAGUUUUUGUUUUCUGUGGCAGUUGGAGUAUCAAAUGGACCAUUCCUUGAUGAUGGGCGGUGGUCAGUUACGCGACACCAAGGUAACUCAUUGUAUGAGCUUCUUAGCUGCUGCUGCUGCAGCAUUUCUCUUGGAUUCAUCGUCUAGUUGAGAUUGGUUUUGUUCGGUAAUGAGUUGUGGUUAGAGUUUGGUCACCCCAGCUAGGGGGGUGACUGUGGGUGUAGUUUGGAGUUUGUUGCCUCUACGGAGCUUCAAAUGUCGAUGUUUUCCAUGGAAUCAACUGAUAAAAUAUUCUUGCAACUGGUCUCAACUUCAUAAUCAAGUUGUGAAUAGGUUGGAUUUGUGUGAGUACAACCAUUUCUUGACUUGGCUUUUCGAAGUGGGACAACUGCUGUUGCAUGAAUCCAUUUUGUAUUUCAUGGGGAAAAGUCAUCAAUAGCUUUCUAGUUAAGAUAGAAUGAAACUCGAUGAAAAUUUUUAACUCUGGUAUUCGGGUUUCUUGUACUCAAAGAGUCUAAUCUAAGAUGUUUAAUUGAAGUUCAA